rnacentral:ribozyme from 12 species
GUCAUUCCUUUGACUGAUAUUCUUCUUUUUUCUUUUUUUUUUUUUUUCCUUUUUGUUUUCU